CAAUAGCGUAUAUUAAAGUUGUUGCAGUUAGAACGCUCGUAGUCGGAUUUCGGGGCGGGCCGACCGGUCUGCCGAUGGGUAUGCACUGGUCGGCGCGUCCUUCCUUCCGGAGACCGUCCCUACUCUUAACUGAGCGGGGGCGGGAGACGGGACUUUUACUUUGAAAAAAUCAGAGUGUUUCAAGCAGGCAGCUCGCUCUUGCAUGGAUUAGCAUGGAAUAAUGAAAUAGGACUUUGGUGCUAUUUUGUUGGUUUCGAACACCGAAGUAAUGAUGAGAAGGGACAGUCAGGGGCACUCGUAUUCCGCCGAGAGAGGUGAAAUUCUCAGACCAGCGGAAGACGAACCACUGCGAAAGCAUUUGCCAGGGAUGUUUUCACUGA
rnacentral:rRNA from 1 species